rnacentral:rRNA from 1 species
UGGGGAAUAUUGCACAAUGGGCGCAAGCCUGAUGCAGCCAUGCCGCGUGUAUGAAGAAGGCCUUCGGGUUGUAAAGUACUUUCAGCGGGGAGGAAGGUGUUGUGGUUAAUAACCACAGCAAUUGACGUUACCCGCAGAAGAAGCACCGGCUAACUCCGUGCCAGCAGCCGCGGUAAUACGGAGGGUGCAAGCGUUAAUCGGAAUUACUGGGCGUAAAGCGCACGCAGGCGGUCUGUCAAGUCGGAUGUGAAAUCCCCGGGCUCAACCUGGGAACUGCAUCCGAAACUGGCAGGCUUGAGUCUUGUAGAGGGGGGUAGAAUUCCAGGUGUAGCGGUGAAAUGCGUAGAGAUCUGGAGGAAUACCGGUGGCGAAGGCGGCCCCCUGGACAAAGACUGACGCUCAGGAGCGAAAGCGUGGGGAGCAAACA